GCCCCCAUCGUCUAGCGGUUCAGGACAUCUCUCUUUCAAGGAGGCAGCGGGGAUUCGACUUCCCCUGGGGGUAGGGUACUACA
rnacentral:tRNA from 1 species